CUUUUGAUUAUAAUUUAAGGUCUGACCUGCCCAAUGAUUGAGUAAAUUUAAUGGCCGCGGUAUUUUGACUGKGCAAAGGUAGCAUAAUCAUURGUUUUUUAAUUGAARGCUGGAAUGAAGGGUUGGAUGAGAAAAUAACUGUCUCUAUUAAAAUUUAUUAGAAUUUUAUUUUUAAGUUAAAAAGCUUAAAUUUAUAUAAAAGACGAGAAGACCCUAUAGAAUUUAAUAUUUUUUUAUUAUUAAGGCUUUAGUAUUUUAAUUUUUUUAUUAAAAAAGUAUUUAAUUGGGGUGAUUAAAAAAUUUGAUAAACUUUUUUUGUAUUAAUACAUUAAUUUAUGAUUAUUUGAUCCYUAUUUAAAGAUUAAAAGAUUAAAUUACCUUAGGGAUAACAGCGUAAUUUUUUUUGAGAGUUCAAAUCGAAAAAAGAGUUUGCGACCUCGAUGUUGGAUUAAAAUAUAAUUUUGGUGUAGAAGCUAAA
rnacentral:rRNA from 1 species